UACAGAGGUCCCAAGCGUUGUUCGGAUUCAUUGGGCGUAAAGGGUGCGUAGGUGGCGCGCUAAGUCGGGUGUGAAAUCUCGGGGCUUAACUCAGAGGCUGCUUUCAAAACUGCCGUGCUCGAGUGCGAGAGAGGCCAGUGGAAUUGCAGGUGUAGCGGUGAAAUGCGUAGAUAUCUGCAGGAACACCCGUGGCGAAGGCGGCUGGCUGGAUCGCAA
rnacentral:rRNA from 1 species